rnacentral:rRNA from 1 species
AAUCAACGCUGGCGGCGUGCCUCAGACAUGCAAGUCGAACGAUUAAAGCUCUCUUCGGAGAGUGCAUAGAGUGGCGCACGGGUGAGUAACACGUAAGUAAUCUACCCUCGAGUGGGGAAUAACGUCCGGAAACGGACGCUAAUACCGCAUAAUGCAGCGGCACCGCAAGGUGACAGUUGUUAAAGAUUUAUCGCUUGAGGAGGAGCUUGCGGCAGAUUAGCUAGUUGGUAAGGUAAUGGCUUACCAAGGCUACGAUCUGUAACCGGUCUUAGAGGACGGUCGGUCACACUGACACUGAAUAACGGGUCAGACUCCUACGGGAGGCAGCAGUCGGGAAUUUUGGGCAAUGGGCGAAAGCCUGACCCAGCAACGCCGCGUGAAGGAUGAAGUAUUUCGG